AGCACUUGUAAAUGAGCCUCACGAAGAUCUAAUCCAAGCAGAGACAAUGCCUGGCCAUUGGGAAUUGCAACUCUACGUAAUUUGUGACGUCUGGUGACUUUAGACUUCCAAGAGUGCUCAUCUUCAAGGUGGGAACACAGAGACGCAAUGUCGAAAUCUUCAUAACAGUAGGGACAUGGGAAAUCGGGUCGCACCUCGUCUUCUACCACGAAAUCAUCGAUGCUCAACCGAUCUAGGUGGUAGCUCUGAUGAUGGUGCUG
rnacentral:misc_RNA from 1 species